UACGUAGGGGGCAAGCGUUGUCCGGAUUUAUUGGGCGUAAAGAGCGUGUAGGCGGCCAGACAGGUCCGUUGUGAAAACUCGAGGCUCAACCUCGAGACGUCGAUGGAAACCGUCGGGCUAGAGUCCGGAAGAGGAGAGUGGAAUUCCUAGUGUAGCGGUGAAAUGCGCAGAUAUCAGGAGGAACACCCGUGGCGAAAGCGGCUCUCUGGGACGGUACUGACGCUGAGACGCGAAAGCGUGGGGAGCGAACAGG
rnacentral:rRNA from 1 species